UACGUAGGGACCGAGCGUUGUCCGGAAUCAUUGGGCGUAAAGAGCGUGUAGGCGGCUAUUUAAGUCCUGCGUGAAAUCCUGCGGCUCAACCGCAGACGGUCGUGGGAAACUGGAUGGCUAGAGUGCGGGAGAGGAGAGUGGAAUUCCCGGUGUAGCGGUGAAAUGCGCAGAUAGUCGUAAGGAAGACCAGUGGCGAAGGCGAGUCUCUGGACAGCAACUGACGCUGAGGCACGAAGGCCAGGGGAGCAAACGGG
rnacentral:rRNA from 1 species